rnacentral:rRNA from 1 species
CUGAUCCAGCCAUGCCGCGUGCAGGAAGACGGUCCUAUGGAUUGUAAACUGCUUUUAUACAGGAAGAAACACCUCUACGUGUAGAGGCUUGACGGUACUGUAAGAAUAAGGAUCGGCUAACUCCGUGCCAGCAGCCGCGGUAAUACGGAGGAUCCAAGCGUUAUCCGGAAUCAUUGGGUUUAAAGGGUCCGUAGGCGGCCUUAUAAGUCAGUGGUGAAAUCUCCUAGCUCAACUAGGAAACUGCCAUUGAUACUGUAGGGCUUGAAUUAUUAGGAAGUAACUAGAAUAUGUAGUGUAGCGGUGAAAUGCUUAGAUAUUACAUGGAAUACCAAUUGCGAAGGCAGGUUACUACUAAUUGAUUGACGCUGAUGGACGAAAGCGUGGGUAGCGAACAGGAUUAGAUACCCUGGUAGUCCACGCCGUAAACGAUGGAUACUAGCUGUUCGGAGCAAUCUGAGUGGCUAAGCGAAAGUGAUAAGUAUCCCACCU